ensembl:lncRNA
CUGCCUUCUCCUUUAGGACACACCUGCUGUUCAUCUCCCCUUGUUUACCACCAAUUACCCUCCAGGGGUCCGUUCUUCGUACCUCGCUUACUACAUCCAAGAUCAAAUGACACAUCCAAGAUCAAAUCAUCGCGCUAACUUUGAGCUCGCUAAUCCGGUUCUCCGAACACACCUGUUGUUGACGAUUAGUAUAGCUGGAUGAAGUGAUCUGAGAUCACUGGGUGGCUUAAAAGGGGCUACGCAUCGAUAGUAGAAACAUUGAUCGGCAACCCUGUGAUUGGUCGGCGAAGAUGUCGAAGGAGCGCGCUCAGUAUUUUACGGCAGCAGAGCAAGAACUCUUGAUUGAGGGAUUUCAGGAGUUUCAGAGUUUAAUUAAAACGCAAGGGAACACUGCAAAGGCUGCAAAAGCAAGGAGAGAGGGCUGGCAGAAAGUUGCUGACAAAUUAAACUCCAACCAAGAAAAGGGCAGAGCAAAUAAAGACAGGUGGUGGUCCUGCACCCCCUCGUCACACCCCGGCAGAGGAGCUGGCCCUAGGGUUGAAUGCCACCAGACCCAUUGUUGAGGGCAUCCCUGGGGGCAGCUCUUCCUUAGACCAGCAGCCGGGGUGCAGUAGCAGCACCUUCAUAACUGGUAAAUGAGCUCAUAAUUCUAUUUGUACAAUGUAAAAUAUUUGGUUGUUGCCUUAAUUAAAAUGCUUAUUGUACUGUGACAUUUAUUGACAUUGUGGGUUUUUUGUGUGUAGUUUUACAUAACACUCCAUCACUUCUACCUGUUCCCAUGCAAGGGGUGACUGAAGCAUGCACAGUAAGUUGAUAUACAUAUAUAUAUAUAUAUAUAUAUAUAUCCCACAAUAUACGCUGAAUUCUGAAAACUCUCCUUAUCAAUCUUGCACCUUCCUUGCUCGCGUACAAACGGACAGGACAUGGCUGCAACAGACUUCCCAAAUCCACCUUCGCUUUUAUAGCCGUGGUCUCUCAUCUUGAUUACACGAAGUAAUUUACUAUUACUACUCUAAAUUAUGAAUUACAUCUGAAAUAAUCAAAUACAUGAAAUAGAAUGAUUAAUAGUACAUUUCCCUUUUUUUUAGGAAAUGACCUGUAUGUAUCUGUAUGAAAUCAAUAAAAGAAUCAAAUACUGCAUUAUCUUUAGUUACAUUGAUAAUAUUUAUUUAUGGAAAAACAGUGGAGAAAUGUCGCUGUUG